rnacentral:misc_RNA from 1 species
GAUGAAGAACGUAGCGAAAUGCGAUAAGUAGUGUGAAUUGCAGAAUUCAGUGAAUCAUCGAAUCUUUGAACGCACAUUGCGCCCCUCGGUAUUCCGUGGGGCAUGCCUGUUCGAGCGUCAUUUAACCCCUCAAGCCUAGCUUGGUAUUGGGUGCUUGUCCCGCCUCUCGCGCGGCGACUCACCUCAAAGUCAUUGGCAGCCCGCAUCUCGCCGGCCGUGAGCGCAGCACAGACGCGCUCUUGGCAACGACGGAUCGGCUCUCCAAAAGCUUAUUUCAACCACUGACCUCGGAUCAGGUAGGGAUACCCGCUGAACUUAAGCAUAUCAAAAGCGGGAGGA